CAGAGAGGCUGUGACCUCCCCCAAGGGUGGUGCAGAAAGCGGCCAUAGCAGUGAAGGGGAAAGGCCUCGUGGCGUUGGGGGGCCACUCGCCAUAAAGGUGUGGGGGUCAGAGAAAGGGAAGAUCAGAGGACACUGGAACUUGACACUGAGCUGAGGAAUGAGACUGGGUGGGAUCAUUCAUAGAAAUUUCAUCUGAAGCCUGGGAAGGAAGUAGGUUUGGGGGGUGGCGGGAAGGGAUGAUGGUGAAGUUAGUUUUUUAAUUAUUGCUUUUAUUUAUGUAUUUAUUGUUUGCAAUUUUGAGGUCUAGUGUCCAUUUAAGUGGAAUGGCUUAGGAAAAGGUGCUCAUAUUUUAAGCUGUUCUCCUGGACUAAGGGUGAAUACAUAGUCCCUCUUUUAACUUGAAUCUAAGUAACAGGUUUUUUGUUUGUUUGUUUUGUUUUUCAAAUGAUAAUAUGUAAUAUUUUAAAUUCAGUAUUCUAAUAAAUGCUAAAUAAGGGAUUUCUGAUUUCAGUUGUUUCAGGAACACAGUCAUCCCUCAGAAAUGGAUUGGGUGACAAGUGGUCUGCAUGCUGCACACGGGCACUGGAGUGGACAAUUUAUUUGGUAUUGACUUAGUGUGAGGCAUGCCCUAGACCCGAGGAAUAUAAAGGGGACUGGGAGAAAGCCCGGCCUCCCUGGAGCUCUUCACGUGAUGACAGGCGCAGAUCAGCGGACAGGCGCGUAACAGGAGGUGCUAAGUGCGCAGGUGGGGUCACGUGCCGCGUCACAGCAGUGCUGGAGGAGAGUCCUGACUCAUGGCCUGGGAUGCUGGGGUUCCUCCCCAGAGAAGCUCUUUUGGACCUGGGAGAAGGAGUAGGACUUUGAUACACCAUGGAGGUCUCUGAAUGUAACCAAAUUGUUCUCCUCUUAUCAUUCCCAUUCACUGGUGUACUUGUUUGUGGAGCCUGCAGAACUGCCUUUUUCAAGAAUGCUUAAGGCUAAUUUAAAAGGAUGGUGAGGAGAUUCUAUUUUCAACUGGCUGAAGUUCAAUAAGAAUAAAAUAAAACACUGUUGUAGCAAACUCUUUCACAGUGGAAGUUUGGCAAAGCUAAAUCUCAUUCCUUUCGAUGUGCUCCAGUACAGCCAAAAUACUGUUCCAGUGAGUAAGACACCCAUUAGAGUGAUGAGCUUCCUACAGAACAAGAAUCUCUCCAUAUUUUAUUUUAAACCAAACCAGUGUUGCAUUGCUU
rnacentral:lncRNA from 1 species